CUGUGGUAAUUCUMGAGCUAAUACAUGCGCAAAACCCCGACUUCGGAAGGGGUGUAUUUAUUAGAUAAAAMACCAAUGCCCUUCGGGGCUCCUUGGUGAUUCAUAAUAACUUCACGAAUCGCAUGGCCUUGCGCCGGCGAUGGUUCAUUCAAAUUUCUGCCCUAUCAACUUUCGAUGGUAGGAUAGUGGCCUACCAUGGUGGCAACGGGUAACGGGGAAUUAGGGUUCGAUUCCGGAGAGGGAGCCUGAGAAACGGCUACCACAUCCAAGGAAGGCAGCAGGCGCGCAAAUUACCCAAUCCCGAUACGGGGAGGUAGUGACAAUAAAUACUGAUACAGGGCUCUUUUGGGUCUUGUAAUUGGAAUGAGAACAAUCUAAAUCCCUUAACGAGGAACAAUUGGAGGGCAAGUCUGGUGCCAGCAGCCGCGGUAAUUYCAGCUCCAAUAGCGUAUAUUAAAGUUGUUGCAGUUAAAAAGCUCGUAGUUGAACCUUGGGCCCSUCCUGCCGGUCCGCCUCACCGSGAGUACUGGUCCGGAUGGGCC
rnacentral:rRNA from 1 species